GGAGUUCGGUCCGUGUCUCAGUACCGAUGUGUGGGACCUUCCUUUUAGAACCCAUAGGCAUCAUCGUCUUGGUGGGCCGUUGCCCCGCCAACUAACUAAUGCCACGCAUGCCCAUCCAUCACCUAUGAAUAUUUAAUCAAAUGGGGAUGCCCCCUAUUGAUGCCAUCGGAGUUUAAUCGUCCUUUCGGUCGGCUAUCUCCGUGUGAUGGGCAGGUUGCAUACGCGUUACUCACCCGUCCGCCGCUCGCCACCAAUGUAUUGCUACACCGUGUUGCCGCUCGACUUGCAUGUGUUAGGCCUGCCGCUAGCGUUUAUC
rnacentral:rRNA from 1 species